AAUAAGUUUAUUUUUCAGUUUUUGAAUACGAUGUUUGACCUUUUGUCUUAUUUGAAAUUUUUUACGAUUAAUAUUUCUAUUGUUACCAGAUGAUAAAACGUGAAUAGUACUUUACGCGUGACUAUUUUUUUUAGUUUUUCUAUAAUUUUUUUAAAUAAGACAAAUAGUCAAAUGUUAGACACAGAAAUAACAAAAUAAACUUAUU
rnacentral:pre_miRNA from 1 species